AACGCACGAGACCUGCGGACCUGCGGAAGGAUCAUUAAUGUUGUCUUGUCCACUUGUAAGUCAACUUUGGAAGGGUUUUACCCUUUCACAAGUUGGCUUGCAAGCUCCCGUGCUUAUCAUAAAGUCCAUAACCAUUUUUUUUUAUUGCUGCAGUGACUUUAACGAGUCUUGCACGCAUAAAAAAAAUCGACAUUGACAAGCAUUGACCUUACUUUGUAUCGUUGAUAUUGCCAGUGUCAC
rnacentral:misc_RNA from 1 species